AAUUGUACAAGUAAAAUCAAAUCGAAUCAAUUCAAUUAAUGGUGAAACAAUUAACAGACAUAAUCGAUCAAUAAACAAUUAGAAAAGAAAAAAUUAAAUUCGAAAGUAGAAAAAGUUAAUCAACUUUAAAUUCAGUUAAUCAAAAGAAAGAAAGUAAACAAACUGAGAUUAACAUACGAUCCCUUUUGGUGGGAAAAGAAAAUGAAAAAAAUUUAAUUGUUGUCAUUGAUUUCUAAUUGUUCAAUUGUGUUAAAUUGUUAUUUCUUUACAAUUUCAAUCAAUCAAUUUAAAGAAAAAUGAAGAGACACACGAAGGAGGAAGAUGAUCAACAAGUAACAACAACAAUCAUUACAGGAAGAGACAGAAGGAGAAAUGAGAGAGAAACGUAUUAUGGACUAUGUAAUAUCUUCUUUCCCAUCAUCAUCAUCAUCAUCAUCAAUUCGCUGAUAUAUAUGAGGGGUUAGAACUCAAGGAGAGAAGAAAAAAGAAGAUGAUGAUGGAGAAGAAGCAAAAACAUGAGAAAAAAAGUGACCAAAAAGGAGAUAGUAAAAAGGAAUUUCUAUAUUUACAGAAGAGAAAUGAUAAGUUUCUCUUCAUGUGCCUAUGUGAAUAAAAUCCAAUACUUGAGGGAAAUUGAAGAUUCCCAUGUUUGCAUAACCACCCAACGAAGACAAAAGCCAUAACCAGUCGGAUGAAUUGUUUGGGAGAAUCUUUUUUUUUGUUCUAUUCUCUUUCAGAGGAAAAAUGUCAACGGUUUUCUCAGCUUUUUGCUAUUACGUGAAAGAAGCGAAAAAUCCACGCGACCCUGAACUCUCAACAAAAUCAUCAUCAUCUUAAAUCGUCAACAGAGUCAUUAACAUCAUCUUAAUGUGUCUCAUCAACUUCAAGAUUCCUUUUCAUCUUAUUCUCACAUAGUAAUAAUAGACAACAGUGGGAAAGAUGAUAAUUUAUUUUCUCCGCCAUAGUUUUCAUCUUGUAAUCCAGAAUUUGUAACAUUCUUCACAUUUCUCAUCAGCCACAAAGAGAAGGAGGAAAAAAAGGAUUCACAUGGAAGAAAGAAAAGAGAAGCAAAAAGAUGUAACAUUCAAAAUUGUCAACAAUCAAAAGUGAAUUUAUUCACAUUGGAUUCGAUUUUUUCUUUACCAAAUCAACAAAAGGAUCAAAUGCACAGAGAAGAGGAGUAAAAAAAGAGAUCGUAAAAAAGUAGAUCAUCAACAAAACAACCAAGGGUUAGAAUGGAAGUUACCUUAAGUUACCUUUUUCCUUAAUAACGGUUUACCUUUCACCUUCAUCUUCUCUCCAUCUUCUCUUCAUCAUCAUCUUUUUGAGAUCUUUUUACUCUCAAUCUAAAGAAAACCAUAUUGUCUGUACAUCUUUUUCUCUCUCUCUCUUUCUUUCUCAAUGGUUAUAGUAAAAAACUCACAUAUUGUAAAUCUCUUAAGAAAAGAUCAACACGGAGAGAGAAAGAGAGAGAAUAAGAAAACAAACUCAUUUCUUCCUCAUCUUCAUUCAUCUUAUUUACAACGAAAGGCCUUUUAACGGGCAAUAUGUACAGAGACCUUUAAACUGUUCCCAUGUGUCUCUCAGGUCAAAAGUCAUUGUUAGUUUUUCCUAUUUUCCUUUAAAGUUUUUUUUCUCUUUCUUUUCUUUCUUACUCUCUCUUAAGAAGUUACUGUACUUUCUUAUUUAUCUGUAUCUUUCUUUCUCUUCUCUUUUUUCAUCUCUCUCUCUUCCUUUUCUCUUCCAUAUCUUUUUUAGGUCACACGGUAACCAUCUUGCGUGAAGGAGCAGCCUAGUUAAUCAUAAUCAAUAUUUGAUAAUAAUCAAUCCAAUGGUUUAAUUCAUUUGAUAUUAACCAUUGUCAUCUAUUUAAAUUGACUAAUCAACAUCUUCCCAUUCAUGGAAACAACAAUAUUAACACCCAUCAGAUUUGAUGGAUCCAAACCUCAUUCACAAGGAUAAUUAACAUAUUAUUCACUUAAAUUUGAAUCUAUUUAGUUAAUUGUUUGAAUGAAAUUACAAGUAUAAUUAAUAUCCAAUGUAGAUCUUAUCAAAGAAAACCCUAUGGAAUUUAAUUAUAAUUGUUUAAAUCGUGAUUACGAUUACAAUUUAAUUUGGAUUACAAGAAGCUCAGGAUGAAAUGGGUGAAAAUAACAAUAGAAAAUAACAAAAAAUAAGAUCACUGAUAAGAUGAAAUAAUCUAUUAGCGAACAACAAUCAAGUAACUAACCUUGAAUGUUUGUAGGAUUAAUAAUUAACUAAUCUCAUCAUGUUGAUUAAAUUUCGUAUCAAGAUUACAAUCAUUUUGUGUGAGCGAGAAAAGAGAUUAUCAAAACAAAACCUUCCCAAAGUUAAAUUGUUUCCCUCAUCAUAAUCUUAAUCUUAAUCAUCUUCCUCCUCUUUUAGACCAACCUGAUCAUUUUGAUGGAGCAAAAAUUUCUCAUCAUUAUCAUCAAGUGGCAAAAUAUUUUCCAUCAUUAAGACACUUUCCAUGAUGAUGAUGAGAGAGAAGGAAGAGAAACACCAAAAUUGGUGUUAAAUCGUCAGAACAAUUAGUUAAUCAUCAAGAUGAUGUUUAGCUGAAUAUCUUUAUCCUUUUCCUUGAAAAUGUCCACUCAAAAAUGGAACCACAAAUCAAUGUUAGAUGAGAAGGAGGAGGAUUAAGGAGAUUAACAAUGUUCUAUUGAUCAUCUUUCUCUUGCAAGGUAAAUAGAAGAUGAUGAUGAUGAUGAAGAUAAGAAAAGAAAGGUAAAGGUAACAAGAGUGAGAAUACACCUUUCGCCUUAUUCACAUUCUUUGUUAUCAUUUUUCUCUUACCAAUGGAAUUUUACCUGUGGAAUUUUCUCUGUUAAUAUUAAAUAGAGAGGAAGAGAAAAGUAAGAUGAUGAAGAUAAUGAUGAGAAAGAGGCAACAAGAAGAUAGAAAGAUGAUGAGAAGGCAAAUUGUUCUAGUAACAUAUAAGGCGAGAUGUUAUAAGGCGUGCAAAGGGGAGGAUGAGGUUGAAGGUUAAGGUGUUUGGGUUGGGGUGAUAGGUUGUUGAUGGUGGAAUUCAUUCUCAUCAUCUUGGUCAUCAUUCUAUCAUCAUCAUCAUCAUCAUUUCACCUUAGACAAUUUUAGAAUCACUAGUUUAUUAUUAUCAUUGUUACCUGUUGAUGUUAUGUUAUUUUCAAUGGAAAUACAAAAUUUACUCCUCACGCAAAUGAAAACAAUCUUGAGAUUAUUUUUAUUUCUGAUGAUUAAGAAGCUUAAUUAUGAUUCAAGCCUAUUCAUUUAAUCAUAAAUUGUUCAACUUAAUUUGAAUUAAUUCACUGAAUUUACCUUAAGGCUCUUUACCAACCGUUUUCAAAUUAUUACUUAACUUUUUCAUCCUCAUCUUUUUUUUGGCGCACCUUUUUCAUCUUCCUCUUUCUUCCUCUUUCUUUCUCAUCUUCUCAUACCUUUAUCAUCAUCAUCAUCAUCAUCUUAAUCAUUAUCAUUAUCCGAGUGAGUAUUUAAACAAUUAUUAUGAUUAUAAACUUAAAUUGUUUAACGCAAUUGGUGAUAAAAAGUUAUUGCUUCUUAAUUCAACCAACAACCUUUUCCGAUUCAACUUGUUAACAAUUAGAUUUAAUCAAUGGGAUCACAAUUAAGCUUAUUUUUUCAUAGUCUUGAUUAAUUCAAAUCAAAUUCAUUGAUUUUACUUUUUUGUUUGUUUGUUUAUCAUCAUCAACAAUUUAUUCAUGAUUAUUAUGUCAACACCUUAUAUGUAAUCAGAAUUUCAAUUUCAAUCAUCACCGUAAUUAAAUUGAUUAUGAUAAACUGUAAACUGUGAAAACCACAAUUUAUAAUGUGUAUUUAUCUUAAGUAAAGAGUUAAUUGCAGCAAUUUGUUUAUUGUUACAAUUUAAUCAAUAUAAAAGUUUAAGGAAAUCAAGAUCAGGCUUUUCAAUAUUAUUAUCAAUUCAAUUUGAAAAUUGAAAAGGGAAAUUGAAAAAAAAAUUUUCUCAUGAAAAACAAACUUGUUAAUCAACUUAAUCAAUGUUACAAUUAAGUAAAUUUUAAACCAUUCAUCAAUAUUCAUAUCAUUUAAUCAAAAAAAGAUUCAAAAAGUUAUCAACCAAAUAAGUUAUUCACCACUAAUCAGUUACAAUUAAGGAUCACAAUCAACAUUGCAAGGUGAAAAUAUAAUGGGCAAAAUUAAUGAUUAGGUUUGAAUAAGAUUUAAAUUGUUGGUUAAAGGUAAUGAUUGUUUAAGCUUUUGUUAAACCAACAAUUUAAAUUGUAAUUUAACCAAAAUGAUAGUGAUUUGAAAAUAACGAAAUGGAUUAAAAUUUAGAUGAAGUCAUUAAAUUAACUGCACUAUGGAAGUUGAUUGUUGACAUAGAGAACCAUUGAUUCCAAUGACAAUUUAAGAGCAACAAUUAACAUGAUAAUCGGAGUAACAAUGAUUAACAUAUUGUGACUUAAUCUAAAAAUAAUCAAGGUAAAUAAGGUAAGGUCAAUGUCUAUGGGCAAGUGAUUAAGAGACUUAAGCUGAUCCAAUAACAAUCAAGUUAAUCAUGAUUAAUCGUGAUACCGGAAAAAACUAUAUCAUAAUAAUUAAAUCUAAUUGUUAUAUUUUCCCAAGCCCAAAAGAUCAACAAUUUAAUCGCCAAUGAGGAAAAAAAAGUUGAUCCAUCUGUCUGAAUAUCAACAAUAAGUAAAUUACGAUCAGCGGAAAUAAUUAGUUAAUCAACGUUUUUUUUUGCAAACAAUUAACUAUUAAUAAAUUUAGAUGAUGAUAAUAAUAAAUUAUACUAUUGUUUCAUCAGUUGAUUGUCUAUUAAUCAGCUCAAGUGAUUAAACUGUUGUUAAGGUAAGUGAAAAGUUUUGACAUCAAUUGAUUUAUAUGAGUUAAUUUAACAAUUUCCUUAAUCAUUAGCAUGCAAAUAAGUUGACUAGUGAUUAACUAUUAAUAGUUACAAGAAAAAUAGUGAUUAAGAUUAAGGAUGAAAGUAAUUGACAAAAAAAAGGAGACCAAAAAUACAAAUGAAACUAUCAAAGGGGAUUAAGUUGAUUGUAAUGAUGAUUAAGAUGAUGAUUAAUUUCUUAAGGUAUUAAUUAGUUGAAAUGUUAAAUUUUCAUCUCAUGAUGAUGAGGAUGAUUAGGAAAGGAAGCUGAUAAUUGAAACCAUGUCGAGAGUAUGAUUUAAAAUCAAGUUAAUUUAAAAUGAAAUGUAUCACCGGAUGUGAGAAAAACUCAUUCACCAUCAUGAAUGACCAUCAUCAUCAUCUUCAUGAUUAUCAUCAUCAUGGUCAUCAUGAAGAUGACA